AAGGCUGGCAUGGCCAAACUUGGCCCUCCAGUUGUUUUAGGACUACAGUUCCCAUCAUCCCUGACCACUGGUCCUGUUAGCUAGGGAUGAUGGGCGUUGUAGUCCCAAAACAGCUGGUGGGCCAAGUUUGGCCAUGCCUGCUUU
rnacentral:miRNA from 1 species